ACUUCGGGUCUCCAGCCCUCCUCCCCUCGGUCUCUGCCAUCAUGCUACUGCCCGUGUUCACUCUGAAACUGCGCCACAAAAUCAUCCCUCGCAUGGUGGCCAUAGGGCGCUACGACGGGACCCACCCGUGCCUGGCGGCCGCCACCCAAGCGGACAAGGUUUUUAUUCACAACCCUCAUACACGGAGCCAGCACUUCAGCGCAUCCAGAGUCAUCCAGAGCCCCCUGGAGUCCGAUGUCUCUCUUCUGAACAUUAACCAGGCAGUCAGCUGCCUGACCGCAGGAGUAUUGAACCCUCAGCUUGGCUAUGAUGCUCUUUUAGUAGGGACACAGACUAAUCUCUUGGCUUAUGAUGUCUACAAUAAUUCAGAUUUGUUCUAUAGAGAGGUAGCAGAUGGGGCAAAUGCAGUUGUGUUGGGGACGUUGGGAGACAUUUCCUCUCCCCUUGCGAUUAUUGGUGGAAAUUGUGCCCUGCAGGGUUUUGAUCAUGAAGGAAAUGAUCUCUUUUGGACGGUUACUGGAGAUAAUGUUCAUUCCUUGGCCUUGUGCGACUUUGACGGUGAUGGGAAGAAAGAGCUUCUUGUUGGAUCUGAGGAUUUUGAUAUCAGAGUUUUUAAGGAAGAUGAGAUUGUGGCAGAAAUGACAGAAACAGAGAUAAUCACCUCUCUUUGUCCCAUGUAUGGCAAUCGAUUUGGUUAUGCCCUUUCUAAUGGCACAGUUGGAGUUUAUGACAAAAUGGCCCGAUACUGGAGAAUUAAAUCCAAAAAUCAUGCCAUGAGCAUUCAUGCUUUUGACCUGAAUUCUGAUGGAGUGCCUGAACUGAUAACUGGUUGGUCCAAUGGGAAGGUCGAUGCUCGAAGUGACCGAACUGGGGAGGUCAUCUUUAAAGACAACUUCUCUUCUGCAAUUGCUGGUGUGGUUGAGGGCGAUUACCGGAUGGAUGGCCACAUACAGCUGAUCUGCUGUUCAGUGGACGGAGAAAUCCGGGGCUACCUGCCAGGCACUGCUGAGAUGCGGGGGAACCUCAUGGACACAAGCGUGGAGCAGGACCUAAUCCGGGAGCUCAGCCAGAAAAAACAGAAUCUGUUGCUGGAGCUCCGUAACUAUGAGGAAAACACCAAGGCUGAAUCGAGCAGUCCACUGAGUGAGGCUGAUGGGCAUCGGGGCAUUAUCCCAGCCAAUACCAAGCUCCACACCGCCCUCUCAGUUAAUCUGGGGAGUGAGACUCAGGCUGCUCACGCAGAAUUGUGCAUUUCCACUUCUAAUGACACCAUCAUCCGAGCAGUGCUGAUUUUUGCAGAGGGAAUUUUUAUAGGUGAAAGCCACGUGGUACACCCCAGCAUUCACAACGUCUCCAACUCCAUCUGCAUCCCAAUUACACCUCCCAAAGAUGUCCCUGUGGAUCUGCACUUGAAAACCUUCGUGGGUUACAGGAGCAGCACCCAGUUUCAUGUAUUUGAAUUGACAAGACAGCUCCCUCGGUUCUCCAUGUAUGCUCUAACCAGCCCAGACUCUGCCAGCGAGCCACUCAGUUAUGUUAACUUUGUCAUUGCCGAACGGGCGCAGAGGGUUGUAAUAUGGCUCAACCAGAACUUUCUGUUACCAGAAGACACUAACAUUCAGAAUGCUCCAUUUCAAGUGUGUUUCACAUCCUUACGGAAUGGUGGCCAGCUGUAUAUAAAAAUAAAACCUAGUGGAGAGAUUACUGUAAAUACAGAUGAUAUUGAUUUGGCUGGUGAUAUCAUCCAGUCAAUGGCAUCAUUUUUUGCUAUUGAAGACCUUCAGGUAGAAGCGGAUUUCCCUGCCUACUUUGAGGAAUUACGAAAGGUGCUGAUUAAGGAAAACGAUGAAGAAUCGCUAUAUGGAACUAUAUGACCUUAAUAAGGAUUUGCUAAAUGGAUAUAAAAUUCGCUGUAACAAUCACACAGAGCUAUUGGGAAACCUAAAAGCAGUAAAUCAAGCGAUUCAAAGAGCAGGCCGUCUGCGUGUUGGAAAACCGAAGAACCAGGUGAUCUCUGCUUGUCGGGAUGCAAUUCGAAGCAACAACAUCAACACGUUGUUUAGAAUCAUGCGAGUUGGGACAGCGUCUUCAUAGGAGAGGACAGGAGAGGAACUGAAGUCCCUGGAACCUGUUUUUUCCUAAAAAUCUAGGUUGGUUUGCUUUGGACCACAUCCUGGUGAGCCCAGGGUGCUGAGAGUCAAACAACCUUGGUGAGUUGUACAAAUGAAAGACAAAGCAUUGCCCCUGAAAAAGGUCUUCACUUUGUAUUUUUAAAUCAGCAGGCCCAUUGCAGAAUACUAGGCUCGUAUGGAGGAGGGCAAAGAUCUUUGAAGCUUUAGGGCUUCAAAGUCCAAGUUUUCUUUAUGUAUGUAAAGUCAGUGUAUAGAUACAUCUUUUUAUACUUGAAAUUGUAAUUUUAAAAUAGAUUAUCUACUUUUUCAUUAAAAUUUAAAGGUGUCUAACUUUGUGUUGACUGAUGAUAAAAUUCCCUACUAUAUCAGAAUUGCAUAAACCAUUUGUAUUUUGUGGAGAAAAAAGCAUGGAUAAUCAAUUUCUCUGCAUUCUUUUUAAUCACCGGAAGUUGAGUGUAAGCAACAAAUUUGUAUCAAAGGAGUCAGUUUAGGGUGAUCUAUUAGUUGGGGUAAUACUAGCUGCUGUAACAAAUAGACCUCCAAAUUCAUGACUCGUUUAUUUCUAGUUUAUGUGAGGAUUCCUUCAUAGUUAAUCAGGGACCCACGUUCCUUUAAUCAUGUAGUUGCAUCCUCUCCUAGGGCAAUCAUUCUCAACUGGGUUCUUUUAUUUCUAAUAAGCCUAAAGAAAAUGAUUUUCACAUUUGUUGCAUACAAUGGCUGUUAGGGCAUUAGGGCGUAAUUCUCACUGGAAACCCUAUCUGAGAAGAGUGUCUUAGGGCUUUGUGGUCGUUUACAUCUAGCCAGUAGAAAAAGAAAAGAGAGCAGGGAAGAAACAUCUUUAAAAGCCUGGAAAUAGCACAUCUCCACUCAAAUUCCAUUGGCUAACAUGGCUGCACCUUACUGCAACAGAGGCCAGGAAAUGUAAUCCAGCUGUGUGCCUAAGAGGAGAAAGCUCACAUUUGUGUCAACAGCUGGUAGUCCCUUCCCAAGGAGUUAAAAUCUACCUGAAGGGAGAUUUCAGGACAGGUUUAAUGACUAAGACAUUAGUCAGUUUCCACAUCUUAAUAGCAUUUGUAAGCAGUUGGGGUGAGUGGGAAGGGCUGACUUUGCCCCUUAAGUUAGCGUAAAUUAAUCGUACUAGUCUCCUCCUUUUGGCCAGGUAGGGUUACCCUCCUUUAUUUCUGAAACAUGAGCUUUAUGGAGUCCCAAUUUUUACAAGAAGAUGCACUGUAGUACCUUUGUUAUGCAUUUUCAGUCUAUAAGCUGAAUAGACAUCCACCUUUACUGUAUAAUUUUCCGUGAUGCCCAAAGUUGUAAAGUAUCAUUACAUCUGCUUCUGAGAUAAAGAAACUGAGGUGCAGAGAUUAACUACUUGGCAGGGCUCGACUCCCACUGUUGAGUCUUCUGUUUUAACCAGUCUACACUAUACCUUUGGAAGUUAAAAUCUCCAGUUGCUGCUAGUUUUAAAAUGUAUGGCACCAUUCAUUUUUAGGGACCCUAAUCAUCUCAUCAAAGGUCAUUCUUGCUGGUCUUUAGCCAAAACUUCUUUCUUAGGCCUAAAAAUAUUUAUGG